UACGUAGGGGGCAAGCGUUGUCCGGAAUCAUUGGGCGUAAAGAGCGUGUAGGCGGCCAGAUAAGUCCGCUGUGAAAUCUCGAGGCUCAACUUCGAGCUGUCGGUGGAAACUGUCUGGCUAGAGUCCGGAAGAGGAGAAUGGAAUUCCUGGUGUAGCGGUGAGAUGCGCAGAUAUCAGGAAGAACACCCGUGGCGAAGGCGGUUCUCUGGGACGGUACUGACGCUGAGACACGAAAGCGUGGGUAGCAAACAGG
rnacentral:rRNA from 1 species